CAGUGUGACUGUGAAUUAACUAUUUGAAAUGGCCGUUUAUGUUAUUCGAUACAAAAUGCCACUUUUGGUAAGAGUAGUGCUUUARCCAUAAUUCAGACUGGCAUUAUCCCGGACAGCUACAGCCGGUUUCGAGGGGUCCUUCAGUCUUGGAAGAAGGCUUUGCAGCUAGCGGUUAGCGGUGGUCAACAUGCCGACUGUCAGUGUCAAAAGGGAUCUUCUSUUCCAUGCCUUGGGCAGAACAUACACUGAUGAAGAAUUUGAUGAGUUGUGUUUUGAGUUUGGACUGGAGCUUGAUGAGAUUACCUCAGAGAAGGACAUCAUCAGUCGUGAGCAGGGGGACACCAAGGCAGAGGGGGCAUCUGAUGUGAUUCUGUAUAAGAUUGAUGUCCCAGCUAACCGCUAUGACCUGCUGUGUCUGGAAGGACUGGUCAGGGGCCUGCAGGUCUUCAAGCAGAAGAUGGAAGCACCUCGCUACAGGCGUGUGAGUCCAGCCAACGGAGAGCCUCAGAGGCUGGUCAUCACAGAGGAGACGGCUGCUGUGCGACCCCACGCUGUGGCUGCAGUUUUGAGAAACAUCACCUUCACACUGGAACGCUACGACAGCUUUAUCGAACUACAGGAGAAACUCCAUCAGAACGUCUGUAGGAAAAGGACUCUGAUUGCCAUCGGCACCCAUGAUCUGGACACCAUUUCAGGCCCCUUCACCUACACAGCCAAACCACCUGGUGACAUCCGCUUCAAACCUCUCAACCAGGCAAAGGAGUACACCGCACAGGAACUCAUGAGCCUCUACAAGACAGACAGCCACUUGCGACACUAUCUGCACAUUAUUGAAGACAAGCCUGUAUAUCCUGUCAUCUAUGACAGCAACGGCAUUGUACUGUCUAUGCCUCCAAUCAUCAAUGGGGACCAUUCCAAAAUCUCCUUGAAUACAAAGAAUGUUUUUAUCGAGUGCACAGCCACUGAUCUUACCAAGGCAAAAAUCGUGUUGGACAUGAUGGUGACGAUGUUCUGCGAGUAUUGUGAGGAGCCUUUCACGGUAGAGGAGGCUGAGGUGGUGUACCCAGAUGGCAGGACCUGCCUGUACCCGGAGCUGGCUUACAGGAAGGAGACUCUGUCAGCAGACUUCAUCAACCGCAAAGUUGGCAUCAGUGAGUCGACUGAGCACAUCGCCCAGCUGUUGACCAAGAUGUGCUUGCGCUCAGAGGUCACAAGCGACGGRGAACAGAUCGAYGUGGAGAUCCCGCCCACGCGCUCUGACGUCAUCCACGCCUGUGACAUCAUGGAGGACGCCGCCAUGGCGUACGGUUUCAACAARAUUCCCCGCACCACGCCGCGCACCUAUACCGUAGCCAAUCAGCURCCACUGAAUAAGCUGUCAGAGCUGCUGAGACAGGACCUGGCUGCUGCUGGAUUCACAGAGGCCCUCACCUUCGCCCUGUGUUCUCGGGAGGACAUAGCUGACAAGCUGUUGAAGAACAUCUCAGAGACCAGAGCAUGUCACAUCUCCAACCCCAAGACAGCUGAGUUCCAGGUGGCGCGCACCACCCUGCUGUCAGGCCUGCUGAAGACUGUUGCUGCCAACAGGAAGAUGCCUCUGCCUCUGAGGCUGUUUGAGAUUUCAGACGUGGUGCUCAAGGAUGAAACCAAAGAUGUGGGGGCCAGGAACAACCGUCGUCUGUGUGCUGUCUACUACAACAAGAGUCCUGGGUUUGAGGUGAUCCACGGCCUGAUGGACAGGGUCAUGCAGCUGCUGGAGGUCAAACCAGGCCAGGGCAAUGGCUACCACAUCCAGGCUGCCGACGAUUCCACCUUCUUCCCUGGUCGCUGUGCUGAGAUCUUUGCACGCGGGAAGAGCAUAGGACGCCUCGGGGUCCUUCACCCUAAUGUCAUCAACCACUUUGAGCUCACCAUGCCAUGCUCCGCCCUGGACAUCGACAUCGAGUCCUUCCUGUGAUGUCACAACCACACCCUGGGUGUGAUGUCACACCCAGACACACACCGAACUUGUAAGACCACCAAACUCAUCAACCAACACAGGUUAAUUUACUCAUGCUCAGUCCAUCCCAACACAGGUUAAUUUACUCAUGCUCAGUCCAUCCAACACGGGUUCAUUUACUCAUGCCAGUCCAUCCCAACACGGGUUAAUUUACUCAUGCCCAGUCCAUCCCAACACGGGUUAAUUUACUCAUGCCCAGUCCAUCCCAACACGGUUAAUUACUCAUGUCAGUCCAUCCCAACACAGGUUAAUUACUCAUGCUCAGUCCAUCCCAACACGGGUUCAUUUACUCAUGCUCAGUCCAUCCCAACACGGGUUCAUUACUCAUGCCCAGUCCAUCCCAACACGGGUUUCAUUUACUCAUGCCCAGUCCAUCCCAACACGGGUCAUUUACUCAUGCCCAGUCCAUCCCAACACGGGUUCAUUUACUCAUGCUCAGUCCAUCCCAACACGGUUCAUUUACUCAUGCUCACCAUCCCAACACAGGUUAAUUUACUCAUGCUCAGUCCAUCCCAACACGGGUUCAUUUACUCAUGCCCAGUCCAUCCCAACACAGGGUUCCCAGCUCCAGCAGAGUACAGGCCCAACCCGCUCCAGCGGAACUCACGUUUUCACGCAAAUCUCCCGUUGACAUCACAUUGAAAGCUUGAGAUGAGUAAAGUGCAAAAGUUAGGAUUCGGGCCCAAAUUAAUUGUUCAGUUGAUAUCAUGCAAGGUA